UACCAGCACCCCGAGUGGUCGGGACUAUUAUUGGGCCUAAAGCAUCCGUAGCCGGUCUUGCAAGUCUUCCGUUAAAUCCAGCUGCUUAACAGAUGGGCUGCGGAGGAUACUACAAGGCUAGGAGGCGGGAGAGGCAAGCGGUACUCAGUGGGUAGGGGUAAAAUCCUCUGAUCCAUUGAAGACCACCAGUGGCGAAGGCGGCUUGCCAGAACGCGCUCGACGGUGAGGGAUGAAAGCUGGGGGAGCAAACCGG
rnacentral:rRNA from 1 species